AUAAGUAGGUCGAUAUCUAAGAGUUGAAAAAAAAAUAUAUAUAUAUAUAUAUAUAUAAACCAAAUAAUUCAUAUAGAAAUGGUAAAUGAUGAUACACAAAACACUUGCAAUAAAUAAAUUACUACUUCUCGAAGUUACAUGAUAAACCAAAUGAAGACAUUAACAAAGAUGACUCGAUGACAAACAUAUACGAAUAUAUAAUAACAAUAAUCAGCCCAGAGACAGAUGAAAAGGAUAGGACUGAAGAAAUCAUAAAACACCAAACUAUCAACACCAUCCAGCAAGAAAGGAAAAAACUUUAUGACACUUAACCUUCACAUCUCUUCUUCACCUGUCAAAAAUAUCAGGAAGAAUAAUUAUUAUUUAUCAUGAUCUUGGACCACCACAAUAAGAUUGAUGAAGC
rnacentral:lncRNA from 1 species